rnacentral:lncRNA from 1 species
GGGGGGGGAUCUCGGAUUCUCCAAAAUUAACACUUGAUUGAAAACUUUCAUAAGGAAAGUUUUCAUGGAGAACACUUCCCUGUUGACUGUUAAGCAGUCCAACGUAACUAGAAGACUGACUGUGAUAAAUUUUUGAAUCCAUACGAGUUAGAAAAGAGAAAGAUUUGAGAGAGAGAGUUGUAGCUUAUGAGAUCAUAGAAGAGAGAUAGUAGCUGUGUAUAUUUAAGGGGAAUGAGAUGGGAGUUUAAUAGGAGGAAGUGAAGAGUA